AUCGGUACGGGUUGUGGGAGCAAGAGCCCGGAGAUGGAUUCUGAGACACGAAUCCAGGCCCUACGGGGCGCAGCAGGCGCGAAAACUUUACCAUGCGGGCAACCGUGAUAAGGAAACCCCGAGUGCCAGCACAGGCUGGCUGUCCACCAGUGUAAAUAACUGGUGAAGAAAGGGCCGGGCAAGACCGGUGCCAGCCGCCGCGGUAAUACCGGCGGCUCGAGUGGUGGCCGCUAUUACUGGGCUUAAAGGGUCCGUAGCUGGAUAUACAAGUCCCUUGAGAAAUCCGCCGGCUUAACCGGUGGGCGUUCAGGGGAAACUGUAUUUCUAGGGACCGGGAGAGGUGAGAGGUACUGCCGGGGUAGGAGUGAAAUCCUGUAAUCCCGGUGGGACCACCUAUGGCGAAGGCAUCUCACCAGAACGGGUCCGACAGUGAGGGACGAAAGCUGGGGGAGCAAACCGGAUUAGAUACCCGGGUAGUCCCAGCUGUAAACGAUGCGCGUUAGGUG
rnacentral:rRNA from 1 species